rnacentral:rRNA from 1 species
UGAGUAAACUUAAUUAAUAAAUUAAACCUUUUAACAAAGGAUCUCUUGGUUCUGGCAUCGAUGAAGAACUCAUCUGAAAUGCGAUAAGUAAUGUGAAUUGCACAAUUCAGUGAAUCAUCGAAUCAUUUGAACGCACAUUGCGCCCCCUGGUAUUCCGGGGGGCAUGCCUGUUCGAGCGUCAUUUCACCACUCACGCCUCGCUUGGUAUUGUGCAACGCGGUCCGCCGCGUGCCUCAAAUCAUCCGGCUGGGUCUUCUGUCCCCUAAGCGUUGUGGAACCUAUUCGCUAAAGGGUGUUCGGGAGGCUACGCCGUAAAACAACCCCAUUUCUAAGGUUGACCUCGGAUCAUGCACGGAUACCCGCUGAACUUAAGCA